rfam:Rattus norvegicus chromosome 14, whole genome shotgun sequence.
GGGGAUUUAGCUCAGUGGUAGAGCGCUUGCCUAGCAAGCACAAGGCCCUGUAUUCAGUCCUCA